rnacentral:rRNA from 1 species
GAUGAACGCUAGCGGCAGGCUUAACACAUGCAAGUCGAGGGGUAUGCUUCUUCGGAAGCAGAGACCGGCGCACGGGUGCGUAACGCGUAUGCAAUCUACCUUUUACAGAGGGAUAGCCCAGAGAAAUUUGGAUUAAUACCUCAUAGUAUUAUAGAAUGGCAUCAUUUAUAAUUAAAGUCACAACGGUAAAAGAUGAGCAUGCGUCCCAUUAGCUAGNGGUAAGGUAACGGCUUACCAAGGCUACGAUGGGUAGGGGUCCUGAGAGGGAGACUCCCCCACACUGGUACUGAGACACGGACCAGACUCCUACGGGAGGCAGCAGUGAGGAAUAUUGGACAAUGGGCGCAAGCCUGAUCCAGCCAU